CAAAUAGACCCUGGUCAAUUUAUUUGCACCCUUACUACAAAAGCAAAUCCCCGGAUUAUGCAUAUAGAAAAAGUAGAGCCACCAAAACAACUCACGAACGAACCCUACUCCCCAAUCCAAAUCCAAAGCUAAGAAGAAUGAGAAGCGGAGUGUUGAAGCUCUCACUCUCAUCUUCCCUCACUCUCACUCACACACUCACUUUCUCUUCGUCCCUCUCCGUUCCCAAAACACCCUUUCUCCUCUCUUUCCGACACUCACUUUCCCAUUCCGCCGCCGCCUCCAAGACGCAGCUCUUCAUCCCUCCGGGCGUCGAACCCCACGAGGUUAACGACUCCAUGCUCCUCCCCUGCUCCAACAUCGCCGUCGGACCCUACGCCGGCGAUUCCCGGAUCAAGGAGGUCCAGUUCGUGAAGAGCAGCGCCCGCGCCAAGGACUGCCCCAGGGAUGACCGACCCGAAUUCGCCGUUCUCGGUCGCUCCAACGUCGGCAAGUCCUCCCUCAUCAAUUCCCUCGUUCGCAAGAAGGAGAUUGCUCUCACUUCUAAGAAGCCAGGGAAGACCCAGCUCAUCAAUCACUUCUUGGUCAACAAAAGUUGGUACCUUGUUGACUUGCCUGGUUAUGGCUUCGCGAAAGCACCUGAAGCUUCUAAGACAGAUUGGUCUUCCUUCACAAAAGGGUACUUUUUGAACAGAAGUACUCUGGUGGCUGUCUUGCUUCUCAUCGAUGCAAGUGUUCCACCUCAAAAGAUUGAUUUGGAUUGUGCAAAUUGGCUUGGACGCAAUAAUAUACCAAUCACUUUUGUUUUCACAAAAUGCGACAAAAUGAAGGUGGCAAAGGGGAAACGGCCUGAUGAGAACAUAAGGGAUUUUCAGGAGUUAAUCAGACAACACUACAAGCAACAUCCCCCAUGGAUUAUGACCAGUAGUGUCACUGGACUUGGCAGAGAUGAGCUUCUCUUGCAUAUGUCUCAGCUAAGAAACUACUGGGACCAGUAGGAGAAAAGCUAAAGUUAAGCAAGAUGUGACUAUCUAAGAAAAAACACACCAUGCAGGAGCAAAGUUGAAAUUAUAAAAGAUGCAACGAUACAGAAGAAUCAUGCGAAAAAGCUAUGGGUUUGGUGCUCACAAUGUUUCAUCUGGAUCUUUCAUAAGGAUCUUUGUUCUUAUUGAACUGCAACCAGAUAUAUCUCUUACAUGAGAAUCAAGCUUGAGUUGUUUCUGGAUACUGAAUUCCCAUAUACUGCCGCCAAGUAUUAAGGCUAAUGCUGACAUUUUAUGCAAAUGGAGGGACUGAAUGUGGAAUCCAUUUUAAUCCAGCUAAGGUGAAGAAUAACAGACAAUUGAUUUGAUUCAGUUGUUGGUUUGUCCACAUAUUGAACUAUUAUGCUGUAACACUAUUUGGCACCCCUCGUCCUGUUGCCCCAAUGCCUGAGCUUGGUAUAAGAAGUUCAUAUGGUAAAACGUCAACGCCACAUCUGUUUCUAAGUUUUGGAUCAGCAUUUCUUCUCCCAAUCUCCAUCUCAAUACUUUUCAUGUCCAUUGAAAAUUGAUUGAAUGCAUCAAUGAUCUCAGGCUCCCCCACC